UCACUGGUCGAGUCGGCCUGCGCGGAAGAUGUAACGGGGCUAAACCAUGCACCGAAGCUGCGGCAGCGACACUAUGUGUUGUUGGGUAGGGGAGCGUUCUGUAAGCCGUUGAAGGUGACCUGUGAGGGUUGCUGGAGGUAUCAGAAGUGCGAAUGCUGACAUAAGUAACGAUAAAGCGGGUGAAAAGCCCGCUCGCCGGAAGACCAAGGGUUCCUGUCCAACGUUAAUCGGGGCAGGGUGAGUCGACCCCUAAGGCGAGGCCGAAAGGCGUAGUCGAUGGGAAACAGGUUAAUAUUCCUGUACUUGGUGUUACUGCGAAGGGGGGACGGAGAAGGCUAUGUUAGCCGGGCGACGGUUGUCCCGGUUUAAGCAUGUAGGCGGAGGUUCCAGGUAAAUCCGGUACCUUUUAACGCUGAGGUGUGAUGACGAGGCACUACGGUGCUGAAGUAACAAAUGCCCUGCUUCCAGGAAAAGCCUCUAAGCAUCAGGUAACACAAAAUCGUACCCCAAACCGACACAGGUGGUCAGGUAGAGAAUACCAAGGCGCUUGAGAGAACUCGGGUGAAGGAACUAGGCAAAAUGGUGCCGUAACUUCGGGAGAAGGCACGCUGAUGGUAAGUGAAGCGACUUGCUCGUGGAGCUGAACUCAGUCGAAGAUACCAGCUGGCUGCAACUGUUUAUUAAAAACACAGCACUGUGCAAACACGAAAGUGGACGUAUACGGUGUGACGCCUGCCCGGUGCCGGAAGGUUAAUUGAUGGGGUUAUCCGUAAGGAGAAGCUCUUGAUCGAAGCCCCGGUAAACGGCGGCCGUAACUAUAACGGUCCUAAGGUAGCGAAAUUCCUUGUCGGGUAAGUUCCGACCUGCACGAAUGGCGUAAUGAUGGCCAGGCUGUCUCCACCCGAGACUCAGUGAAAUUGAACUCGCUGUGAAGAUGCAGUGUACCCGCGGCAAGACGGAAAGACCCCGUGAACCUUUACUAUAGCUUGACACUGAACAUUGAGCCUUGAUGUGUAGGAUAGGUGGGAGGCUUUGAAGCGUGGACGCCAGUCUGCGUGGAGCCAACCUUGAAAUACCACCCUUUAAUGUUUGAUGUUCUAACGUUGACCCGUGAUCCGGGUUGCGGACAGUGUCUGGUGGGUAGUUUGACUGGGGCGGUCUCCUCCUAAAGUGUAACGGAGGAGCACGAAGGUUAGCUAAUCCUGGUCGGACAUCAGGAGGUUAGUGCAAUGGCAUAAGCUAGCUUGACUGCGAGAGUGACGGCUCGAGCAGGUGCGAAAGCAGGUCAUAGUGAUCCGGUGGUUCUGAAUGGAAGGGCCAUCGCUCAACGGAUAAAAGGUACUCCGGGGAUAACAGGCUGAUACCGCCCAAGAGUUCAUAUCGACGGCGGUGUUUGGCACCUCGAUGUCGGCUCAUCACAUCCUGGGGCUGAAGUAGGUCCCAAGGGUACGGCUGUUCGCCGUUUAAAGUGGUACGCGAGCUGGGUUUAGAACGUCGUGAGACAGUUCGGUCCCUAUCUGCCGUGGGCGCUGGAGAAUUGAGGGGGGCUGCUCCUAGUACGAGAGGACCGGAGUGGACGCAUCACUGGUGUUCGGGUUGUCAUGCCAAUGGCAUUGCCCGGUAGCUAAAUGCGGAAAAGAUAAGUGCUGAAAGCAUCUAAGCACGAAACUUGCCCCGAGAUGAGUUCUCCCUGACCCUUUAAGGGUCCUGAAGGAACGUUGAAGACGACGACGUUGAUAGGUCGGGUGUGUAAGCGUAGCGAUACGUUGAGCUAACCGAUACUAAUGAACCGUGAGGCUUAACCUUACAACGCCGAAG
rnacentral:rRNA from 1 species